UGGCAUGGAGGAGAGACUGGAAACCAGCUCCAGUGUUUGCUUCACAAAGCACACAGUUCAUGCAGGGCAACAGCCACUGUGAAGAUGUCACUGAGAUGGCAGCGUGUAGGGGAAGCCACCUGGGCCUGCACAGAGAAGCUGCAAAAGAACAGCCCUGGGGAAAGGAAUGCUCACAGAUUCUGGAACUUCAGGAGUCUAAUCUUGCAUUAAUAUACACACGGUGGACAGCUACAUAAGAGGGAUACUCACCCAAAGUGACAGCAGGAGGUGUGGACUCCAGCAAUCCCAGGUUACAUGAAGAGGCGGACAAAAAGCUCAGAGACGGUAGAAGAUUGUACGAAGAUUUGCCGCACUAACUCCAAUUCAAGAUUUUCUUGGACAGAAAGGAAUGCUGCGGGAUGUUAAAUUAUCAAAGACAAAAAAUGGGAUCUGAAUGAGCUGAAUUUGAAAUUCCCAGGAAAGGAAAAGUUUAUUUGUGAUUUAGCUGUUCAGGUAUAAAAAUGUAUGCUGAAAUUAAAACUUAUUGUAAUAAACAUCAAUAGCAAUGAUUGUGCACAUUUUCUAACAUGAAUAAAUAUACAGAAAAAUUUAAUUGAAAGUGAUAGCCCUAUUUAAUUGAAAUUGACAACACUAUUCAAAUCGACUGCAAAAAACUAUAAGCAAAUU